UGCAGUCGAGCGCGAAUGGGGAAACCCUAGUAGAGCGGCGCACGGGUGCGUAACACGUGGAUAAUCUGCCUGGAUGCCUGGGAUAACCAGUCGAAAGAUUGGCUAAUACCGGAUAAGCCCACGGUUUCUUCGGAGACUGAGGGAAAAGGUGGCCUCUGUAAACAAGCUAUCACAACCAGAUGAGUCCGCGGCCCAUCAGCUAGUUGGCGGGGUAAUGGCCCACCAAGGCGACGACGGGUAGCUGGUCUGAGAGGACGAUCAGCCACACUGGAACUGAGACACGGUCCAGACUCCUACGGGAGGCAGCAGUGGGGAAUUUUGCGCAAUGGGCGAAAGCCUGACGCAGCAACGCCGCGUGUGUGAUGAAGGUCUUUGGAUUGUAAAGCACUUUCGACCGGGACGAAACCGUAAAGCCUAAUACGCUUUGCCUUGACGGUACCGGGAGAAGAAGCACCGGCUAACUCUGUGCCAGCAGCCGCGGUAAUACAGAGGGUGCAAGCGUUGUUCGGAAUUAUUGGGCGUAAAGCGCGUGUAGGCGGCUUUGCAAGUCGGGUGUGAAAGCCCUCAGCUCAACUGAGGA
rnacentral:rRNA from 1 species